AUUGAACGCUGGCGGCAGGCCUAACACAUGCAAGUCGAACGAGUGGCGGACGGGUGUGUAAUGUCUGUGAACCUGCCUGAUUGAGGGGGAUAACUACUGGAAGCGGUAGCUAAUACCGCAUACCAUCAGAUGUGCCCAGAUGGGAUUAGCUUGUUGGUGGGGUAACGGCUCACCCAGGCGACGAUCCCUAGCUGGUCUGAGAGGAUGACCAGCCACACUGGAACUGAGGAACGGUCCAGACUCCUACGGGAGGCAGCGGUGGGGAAUAUUGCACAAUGGGCGCAAGCCUGAGGCAGCCAUGCAGCGUGUAUGAAGAGGGCAUUCAGGUUGUAAAGUACUUUCAGCGGGGAGGCGUUACCCGCAGAAGAAGCACCGGCUAACUCCGUGCCAGCAGCCGCGGUAAUAC
rnacentral:rRNA from 1 species